GUGAGUCAUCGAAUCUUUGAACGCACCUUGCACCCUUUGGUAUUCCGAAGGGUACACCCGUUUGAGUGUCAUUGUAAUCUCACCCCCGGAUGCUUUUGUUUCCGGGAGUGGACUUGGACGCUGCCGUGUCUCACGGCUCGUCUGGAAUGUCUCAGUGUUACCCCGCUCCUCGGCGUAGACAGUGUGAUAGGUAUCUUCACUGGUCGGCCUCGGGGCGGUCGCGCUGCCAACCGUCUUCGGACAAUCAAUGACGAUUUGACCUCAAAUCGGGUGGGAUUACCCGCUGAACUUAAGCAUAUCAAUAAGCGGAGGA
rnacentral:misc_RNA from 1 species